UAGGGAAUCUUCCACAAUGGACGCAAGUCUGAUGGAGCAACGCCGCGUGAGUGAAGAAGGUUUUCGGAUCGUAAAGCUCUGUUGUUGGUGAAGAAGGAUAGAGGUAGUAACUGGCCUUUAUUUGACGGUAAUCAACCAGAAAGUCACGGCUAACUACGUGCCAGCAGCCGCGGUAAUACGUAGGUGGCAAGCGUUGUCCGGAUUUAUUGGGCGUAAAGCGAGCGCAGGCGGAAGAAUAAGUCUGAUGUGAAAGCCCUCGGCUUAACCGAGGAAUUGCAUCGGAAACUGUUUUCUUGAGUGCAGAAGAGGAGAGUAGAACUCCAUGUGUAGCGGUGGAAUGCGUAGAUAUAUGGAAGAAUACCAGUGGCGAAGGCGGCUCUCUGGUCUGCAACUGACGCUGAGGCUCGAAAGUAUGGGUAGCGAACAGGAUUAGAUACCCUGGUAGUCCAUGCCGUAAACGAUGAGUGCUAAGUGUUGGGAGGCUUCCGCCUCUCAGUGCUGCAGCUAACGCAUUAAGCACUCCGCCUGGGGGAGUACGACCGCAAGGUUGAAAC
rnacentral:rRNA from 1 species